UCUCCCUUUUUUUUUUUUCUUUCUUUUUCUUCUCCUCCUCUUCUCUUCUCCCGAUUUCUCCUUCCCCCUUUCUUCCCAUUUCUUCUCCCGUGGAGGGAGGAGGGCGAGCUCGGGAGGCUUGGGAGGAACGAGCUGCGGCCGAUGGCGCCCGGCGGCCGGCCUGCGGCGCCCACGACCACACCCGCGGCCGUGCCCGUGGUCGCGCUCGGGGCGCAUCGGCGGCCUGCGGCCGCAUCUGCAUCCUGCUGCCGGCGACCCGCGUCCCACGGCCGACGACCCGCGGCCCACGGCCGAGGCCGGCGCCUGCGAUUGCAGAUCAACCACCGGGGAUCGUUCGUCUCCUACUCCGGCGAUGCAGCCCUCUGCUCCGACGGCGUGGGUCUAACACCGGAUCCUGCCAACCGUGAAGGUUUGUGAGAGAGAGAGACGGUGGAGAAGAGGGAAGAGGAUGAUGAAAUUCCCCACCGAUCGAGGCUUGUUGUAGCCUCCGAUUGCUGGGAAAGGCGGGCGGUUGUAACCGCCCACCAUCAGGCGUUACGAACGCCUG